AUGUUGGUGUUUAGGCCGUUAGGCAAGGUGUAUGAUCGAUUUCCCACUGAACGAACCGUCGAUGUCGACUACGUUAUGGACACACGGAUGAGGCUGAUAAUUCAGGCAGCAACACUGAUAAGUGUGAUUCAAGCUUGGGUCAUGUUCAUGCACCAGAGAUCUAUCCGUCGUGCUGGGAGACCUUUGAUCCGCUAUGGUCCAAUGUUUAUCCGGGAAGGGGAGAGGAUCCAUAAUCUGAACUACAUCUACAACUUCAAUGACAUCGAGGCUUCGUGGAUGCUUUGAAUGAAAAUAGCACCAUUUGCCAAGCUUGUCGAGACCUUCUAGAGCAUGGGGCUACUGCAAGAUAACAUCCACAGUGUGGAAGAGCAAGUGGUCAUUUUCCUCCAUGUUGUUGGCUAUAACCAGAGGUUCAGUAUCAUUCACAACACGUUCAGGAGAUCAAUAGAGUCCAUCUCUAGAUACUUCAAGUAGGUGCUUUUUGCUGUUGGGGAGCUUAGAGGAGAGAUGAUCAGGAGACCAUCUAACCAGACUCCACCCAAGAUUCGCGGAAGCCCAAGAUGGUAUCUAUACUUCAAGGUGUGA
rnacentral:rRNA from 1 species